rnacentral:rRNA from 1 species
AUUGAACGCUGGCGGCAUGCCUUACACAUGCAAGUCGAACGGCAGCGCGGGAGCAAUCCUGGCGGCGAGUGGCGAACGGGUGAGUAAUAUAUCGGAACGUGCCCAGUAGUGGGGGAUAGCCCGGCGAAAGCCGGAUUAAUACCGCAUACGACCUACGGGUGAAAGGGGGGAUCGCAAGACCUCUCGCUAUUGGAGCGGCCGAUAUCAGAUUAGGUAGUUGGUGGGGUAAAAGCCUACCAAGCCUGCGAUCUGUAGUUGGUCCUGAGAGGACGACCAGCCACACUGGGACUGAGACACGGCCCAGACUCCUACGGGAGGCAGCAGUGGGGAAUAUUGCGCAAUGGGCGAAAGCCUGACGCAGCAACGCCGCGUGGGUGAUGAAGGCC